rnacentral:rRNA from 1 species
UACGUAGGGUGCGAGCCGUUGUCCGGAAUUAUUGGGCGUAAAGGGCUCGUAGGCGGUUUGUCGCGUCGGGAGUGAAAACACCGGGCUUAACUCGGUGCUUGCUUCCGAUACGGGCAGACUAGAGGCAUGCAGGGGAGAACGGAAUUCCUGGUGUAGCGGGUGAAAUGCGCAGAUAUCAAGGAGGAACACCGGUGGCGAAGGCGGGUCUCUGGGCCGAAUGAUUGACGCUGAGGAGCGAAAGCGUGGGGAGCGAACAGG